AUUUUCCAAUUUUUUAAAAUUAAGUGAAAUUUUUUCAUUUUAAAUCAUUUAUUUAAGUUCUGUCCAACUUUCAUAUUUGAUCGCUUUACGAUAGAUGCCAGUACCUACAACAUUUCAUCGGCCAUUGUGGGAAGCAAGCUGUUCAUGUGUAGUUUUUCACAAAUUGUUACAUAUGUAAUUUGGAGGUUGUUUUCAACUGGUGACAAUUAUUUGCAAUGGACGAUUUUGAUUUUUAUCUUAAAAGGUGUCGCUUGUGUGCAUGCGAACAUCGACUGGGCAUUAAUAUAUUCGGCUCUGAGGGUACUAUGCUAGAUUUGAUGUCCAAAAUAAAGAUGUACCUCUCAAUAAAUGUAUGUUCAGAAGAUGCGUUACCAAAUCAUGUAUGUUAUCAGUGUUUAUAUCGUGUUGAAACAUUCCACAGUUUCAAAUUAUCGUGCAUAGAAUCAGAACAUACAUUAAGAAAUUGGCACUUCUUUUAUGGAGGAAUAGCUGAUGAACAUGAUACAUCAGACACAGAGGAUGAAUUGGAGUCUGCAAAUGAAACUGAGAAGAAGAUUGUUACAAGUACAUCACCAGAACUGAAAUCCUCUUCAAGUGAGAGCACUCAACAUUCCCCUAGUGUGUCAGUGGACUCAGUAGCACAGCCCACAACAAGUUCUUUCUCCACUUUGAAACUUGCCAAAAUGGCAGAGACAGCAAUGAAGAGCAAAGAGACUAAGGGCUUGCAGUUACAAAAUGAGGUGGGUGGUAAAACUGCAGUAGACUCGCCUUUCAUAGCCAAGGUACCAAGCCAGAAAAAACAGCCUACAGAUCCAAAUGGGAAGGUUGACAUAGUGGCAGUAAAGAGUGGCAGGAAUAUCAUGAAAAUAUCAAAUACUGAUCAGAACAUGGACACCAAAGAUCAGCCAUCCAGCAAUGAUAACAAUGAAGUCUCACGCAUUCUGCUCAACAUGUCAGGUGUUGGUACUAUCUCAGUCACAAAAUAUGAGGGCAUAGGACUGAAGAAAAUGGAUAUGAAGGACAAUAGCAAGAUAGAUGGAGGGACCCAGGAAAACCAACAUUUUGUUAUGCAUAAACAGCAGACACAGGAAUAUGUUAUUGUGUCUGAUGAUGAUGAUGAUGAUGAUGAUGAAAGUGAUGGUUUCUCAGGGUUUGAUUUUGAAGAAACACCCACUGUGGCAGAAACAGGAGAGUGUACAAAGGAGAAGCCAGGGGCUGGAUUACAGGAGACAGUUGUGGUUGGAGAACUGGUGCCCAAUGAAUGCAUUCGGUUUGAACAUUUGGAAUUUGACAAGAAUGGCACCAUUCAUAAUGCUGAAAAUGAGUCCCAGAAAACAGAAAAAUUGGAGUUUCAGGAUGCAAUAAAGUACACGGCAGUGAAUGUAGACACUCGCUUUGCCUGCAUCAGGUGCAACAAAACGUUUGCUCAGAAGAGUUAUAUCAAGGAACAUAUGAAGAUACAUACAGGUGAGAAGCCAUAUUCAUGCAAAGUUUGCGGUCGCAGUUUCCGCAAUAACUACAUGCUGAAGGUUCACAUGCGACUUCAUACAGGAGAAAAGAACUUCAAGUGUGAGGAGUGUGGUGCCCUCUUCACAGAGCGUGGUGCCCUUGUUUGUCAUGCUCGAACACACACUGGUGUCAAGCCAUUUGUUUGCAUUUUCUGUGAUCGAAAGUUCGCACAGAAUCCAGCUCUUAAGAGACAUCUUCGUAUCCACACCAAGGAAAAACCUUUCAUGUGUGACCACUGUAAGGCGUGCUUUGCGGAUCGUGGUACCUGGAGGAAUCACGUGCGCAUUCAUACAGGCGAGAGGCCAUAUAAGUGCACACUCUGUGAAAAGAGCUUUGUACAGCGCACCAAUCUGCAAGCACACGUCAAGACACACACUGAUGAACGCCCAUUCCCUUGUCAGGUGUGUGGCUCUUCCUUCCGAACAAAGGCUCAUCUUGUGAAGCAUCUGUCAACCAUCCACAGAGAUGUAAUGAAAUGUGUUGUUACAUUUAUGAAGGAACCAAAACAAGAGCCUUCACUGUGUUAACAAGUGUGCAACCUGAAGCUUUGUCAUGUGUAGAGAAGUGCAGAUCAUCAGUGUACAGGGGUACCCCCCUUUAGAAGCAGAUUCUGUGCUAUUGCAUAGAUGGGCAGAGGCCAGGAAUGUCAACACUGACUAUGUCUGGAGGCACUAAACUAACAGCAUACCUCCUGUUUCAUUUAUAAUUAUAAUGAAAAUUACUGUCUUCUGCAAUGGACACUAUGUAGCCUUCUACCAGGAUACCAUCUGCUGACUACAUGACAUCAAAUUCCAGAAGACUAAAUGAACUGUGAUUCAUUUUCAUUUGUGCACACUGUACAACAUUAAAUUAUUGCAUUACGGAAUGUGAUUAAUAAAACUGAUAUGUAAGCACCAUUGUUCCAUUCGUGGAUCAAAUUUGAUAACAUUGAGUGGGGAAAAAUAAACUGUAAAAUAGAAAUAGUUAUAUAAUGAGAAAGUUUUUGAUUUUCACAUGUCACGUCAAACAACAUGGUUGUGCUAUGAGUAAAUCCAUG